rnacentral:lncRNA from 1 species
AAUUCUAUUUUUAGUUUUCUGAGGAACCUCCAUACUGUUUUCCAAAGUAGCUGCACCAAUUUACAUUCCCACCAACAGUUUAAGAAGGUUCCCUUUUCUCCACACUCUCCCCAGCAUUUAUUAUUUUAGACUUUUUAAUGAUGGCCUUUCUGACUGGUGUGAGGCGAUACCUCAUUGCAUUUGCAUUUCUCUAAUAAUUAGCAAUGAUGAGCAUCUUUACAUGUGCCCAUUAGCCAUUUGUAUGUCUUCUUUGGAGAAAUGUCUAGUUAGGUCUUUUGCCCAUUUUUCAAUUGGGUUGUUUGUUUAGUUAUUGAGUUGUCUGAGCUGUUUGUAUAUUUUUGAAAUUAAGCCCUCAUUGGAUGCUUCAUUUGCAAAUAUUUUAUCCUAGUCCAUAAGCUGUCUUUUCAUUUUGUUUAUGGUUUCCUUUGCUGUGUAAAAGCUUAUAAAUUUAAGCCCUUUUUUUUUUUUUUUUUUUUUUUUUGCUUUUAUUCCUAUUGCCUUGGGUGACUGACCUAAGAAGACAUUGGUACGAUUUAUAAUUUGGGGAUUUGAGAAAGAUAAUGCAGUGCAUGUGCUGUAGCCUACAUGAUGUCCUGCAGCAUCAGUGACAGCAUCCUGUCAUCAAACAUCCUAAUAUUUCUGUAGUGAGAGGUGUGUAUUGCAUAAAUAAAGUAGCCUUGCAUCAACUCAAGACAGCUUUCCCUAUCGAACAAGUUUAUUUCAGAUCAAGGUUUUCUGCCAGAAGAGUUAUAAAUAUAGUUUUUGGCCUUUGGAGCUUUUAUGAUUUUGAAAUUGUGGAACUGUAUUCUCCCUGCUUCUUCAGAUGAAGUGAGGCACAGGGAGGUGAAACAACGUACCCACAUUCGUAACUGGUGGGAGAUGGGGCUGCCCUACUAACCUGACAGCCACUUGAUCUCGAACUCGUACCCCCCCCAAAGUCGUGGGACAAGCUGCUGUUAUUCAAGCCCCCAGUCUGUGAUCCCUUGUUUCAGAAUCCCUAGCCAACUAGAAUAACCUCUUUACACAAGUUCUGGGCUCUGGAGAGGAGACCAAUAAAUGUUUAUCUUUAUGAUGGAAGCUUCAGAUUCUUCGUGGAAAAACUAUUAGCCAGUUAGAUGAUCUCUAAGGCCUCUUCCACUUUCCAUUUGUAAUUUUCUGUGAUUAUAACAUAAGGAAAAUUCAGCUCCACUUGUCACUUGUACCAGUGAUCCAGCUCUUCGAGCAUUUCUUGGCUGUUUUAACAUGGGGCCAAUGUAGCAAAAGAAACAAAACAAACCAAGGAACUUCUUUUCCUGUGUUAUGGGUUAUGUCCCUGUACAUUAAAACUGAAACCAUGUGGGCCCUAUUUUGCCUUCUGAUGCUCCUGUUUGUAUGGUCAACUCAGCCGUGAGUUUUUCUGAAUCCCUUUCACUUGGGUCUUCGGGUCUGCUGAGGUUAACCCACUGUUUGGGUGGGGCUACAGAUUUUGCAGAGGAAAGCAAAAAUACUAGAGGUUGUUUUCUGUGGGCUAAGAGUGAAACCCUAUUUAGGCCUGGGAAGUUUGCUUUCUUCAGGUAGAAAUGUGUCCCCACACUGCCAUUUCACUGAGCAGAUAAAAGCAGCUUUAAGAGAGUCUAAAAGGCUGUCAAAUACUCUUUCUGUUUCUAGGAGAAGGCACGGUUAGCCCCAGUGUAGGAAAAAGGUAAAAUGCUGAACAGCUUUCCUCAGGCUUCAGGGAAGGAGGCCCCAUUGUCAAGUGGGUUGGUUCUUGAGGCCUCUGUCUUUAAUUCUACACAUCAAGUCAGAAAGUGAUUUGCUCUAGUUGAGGGGUGGCUCCCAAUUCCCCGUCUGUGGAAACAGGACCUUAAUAGCUGUGGUGUCCAGAGAAAGAACGUUAGGUUUCCUUCCACAGCCCUUUGCAUCAGUUUUCAAGGACGCCUCUCCAACUCCCUGGUGGCUUAGCAGGCUGCCCCCCACUGGCUUCCUAGAAGCCCUUCCUCUGCCAUCUCACCUCCUCGAGGCCAGGGCCCCAUCCCAGAGCCAAGGCUGGCUUUAAAAAUAUGCUGAAGCCUUUUCAUCUCUGCUCCCUGUUCCUAGGACUCUCCCAGGAAUUUCAGGAGAAGUGUGCCUUUUCCUAUCAGAGAUACAGCCUGCUGGAAUUCUGUUGCAAUACAAAAAUGGUUCGGGGUGAGGAGCCUUACUUUGAGGAUCUUAUGGUUGGUGAUUCCAUCCAGUAUCAACAUGGAAGAUUUAAUUAAGAAAGAGCAAGUGCCUAACAGAUGGAGCUGCUCGGAGCAGGAGAGACCACAUCUUGUUCAUUUUUAAAUCCUUGGUGCCUAGCCUAGGCUUGGCACAUAAUAGAUGCUCAAUAAAAUUGUUUGCUGAAUGAAUAGCAUCCUUGUUUUCUUUCUUCCUCAGAAAUGUGUCUGACACGUAUUAACUCCAAGAGUCAUGACCACAGACAAGGUUGGAGAAUGCUUCUGCUUCGUGCUAACUCUCAUGGGUCAUGUCCAAGGAAGAGGUCCUAAAGCCAGGAGGCAGAAGUCCAGGUCCAGGUCCAGGCCGCUAUUCAAGAAACCCUGGGAUCCUCAGCCCCCCUGGGCCUCAGUACCCUCCACUGCAGCACAGAGGUCAUGUUAUCUUCUCUACCCACCUCCCUGGAUGGUUAUGAGAACAUGACGUGACAAUGGAUAUGAAAAUUCUCUGAAAAUUUCAAAGAAUAUGCUGAAGGUAUUAUUUUUUAUUGUUACAGAUUAUUUGUAGAGUUGGGCUGCUCAUAGUCAUUUUUGAGAUCAAUCUCUUUUCUUUUAUAUGUUUAUGCUCUGGUACCAAAGUCGGGUUUCCCUCCUCCCCCAGCUAAAGUAAUAUCCAUCCAGGUAGGCCAGGUACCACCAAGUGCUGACCUCCUUGGAGCUUAUUCAUCUGUUUGGUCAGCAAAUAUUUCUACAGCACAGGUGGUAAGGGACAAGUUAAGUAACAGUCGACUGGCUGACAAAUAGUUGCCAAAGCCACCAAAAGCAGAAACAGUACAGUCUUCUCCCUCAGAGGGCUGUGCUCCUCUAUGGCAUCCUUGAGCUGUCCAGAGAGCCCUCAGCCUGUUCUGCCCAGAGAAGGCCCAGGGAGGAGGUGGCUUGUGGGGAGCCAGGCAGGGCAGCAGGGCCUGGGCAGGACCCCUGCCUCCUAACUUCCAGGAGCUUCCUACACUCCCAGCCUCUCAAGGGAUGGAUGAUUGAAGCCAUGGUAGGUGGUGCUUUGCCUCUUCUUAUCUCCUGUUGCUAAGGUAUCCAAGUGAGCAUGAAACAGAAAUAAGCCUUGUGAUCUGGCUGCCUCCCACCCACGUGGCCAGACAGCCCCCAACUUGGCCAGAGAGGCACCGUCAGGCCAUCGAUCAGCCUGAACCUGUGUUGAGGGUGGGGUGUCAGGGACUCCCCGAGGAGAAAUGACUGAGCUGGGGUGGCAGCUGAUAGUCUCUGAACACUGUUUCUGGGCAAAGAUGUUGAAGCUGGAUUGGGGGACAGAGGUUAAGGAUUGAAAUGACUACAGUAUGCAGCUGUCAGAAUGGGAAUGGCUAGAAUCCUCUGGGGCCCAGGUUCUCCCUGCUUGUCCUUGGUUUACUAAGGGAAUCUACAGAACUUGAGGGAAGGAAGCACAGCCUCUCUCACCCCUUGAAAUCUGCGCCUCUAGCUUCCCUGCUUGCCCUCAAGAUGGGCCCUUCCAAGCUUUCGGACAGGGGCCUUUCUUAAGGAGCAGCACAGUACUGUGGGGAUGAGGGCAAGGUCAUCUGUGAGUGAGGCAGCUCCUCGUGGGCCACAGAGAGGGGAGCUAAUCAGAAGAGAGGAGAGGUGCUGGGCAGACCAACCCAAAGACUGACCCCUGCAAGGUCUCCCUCCAACUUCAAGGCUCAACUCAACAGUGACCUUCCCUGGGAGUUCCCGUUGUGGCUCUGCGGAAACGAAUCCGACGAGGAACCAUGAGGUUGCGGGUUCGAUCCCAGGCCUCACUCAGUGGAUUAAGGAUCCAGCAUUGCCAUGAGCUGUGGUAUAGGUCACAGACACGGCUCAGAUCUGGUGUUGCUAUGGCUGUGGUGUAGGCUGGUAGCUCUGAUUAGACCCCUAGCCUGGGAACCUCCAUAUGCCUGGGGUGCAGCCCUAAAAAUCAAAACAAUAACAAAAACAAAAAACAAUGACCUACCCUAAAAGUCCUUGCAAAUCUACCUGGCCUGGAAAUACCACUUUUCUCCUCUCUACUCAUCCAGUGUUUUCAUCUAUACCUCUCUGUGCACUUAGCACCUGUUUAUUAUGUCCUCACCUUUUGAAUAAUUUUUAUUACACAAAUACUAAUGUAUGUUCAUUGAAGGAAAAAUUACAAACACAGACACCC